rnacentral:rRNA from 1 species
GAGGAGCUUGCUCCUCUGACGUUAGCGGCGGACGGGUGAGUAACACGUGGAUAACCUACCUAUAAGACUGGGAUAACUUCGGGAAACCGGAGCUAAUACCGGAUAAUAUAUUGAACCGCAUGGUUCAAUAGUGAAAGACGGUUUUGCUGUCACUUAUAGAUGGAUCCGCGCCGCAUUAGCUAGUUGGUAAGGUAACGGCUUACCAAGGCAACGAUGCGUAGCCGACCUGAGAGGGUGAUCGGCCACACUGGAACUGAGACACGGUCCAGACUCCUACGGGAGGCAGCAGUAGGGAAUCUUCUGGAAUGGGCGAAAGCCUGACGGAGCAACGCCGCGUGAGUGAUGAAGGUCUUCGGAUCGUAAAACUCUGUUAUUAGGGAAGAA